rnacentral:lncRNA from 1 species
GCCAGGAACUGGAGACUGAGUGGAAGCCCAUCAGAAAAUGACUGAAUAGGAUACAGUAUAUGAACGUAAUGGAUAUUUAUUGUUCUAUAAGAAAUUAUGAGCAAGCUGAUUUUAGAAAAACCUGGAAAGACUUAACACGAACCGAUGCUGAGAGAAGCGAGCAGAACCAGGAAAACACUGGACACAGUAACAGCAACGUUGCAUGAUGAUCGCCUUCAAACAUGACUCUUCUCAACAAUGCCGUGAUCCAAGUCAAUUCCAACAGACUUGGGAUGGAAAAUGCCAUCCACAUCCAGAGAGAGAACGAUGGAUGCAGACUGGAUGCAGAAAGAUUAUUACUUUCACCUUUGUUCUUUCUUGGGACUUUUCCCUUUUGUUCUGAUUUUUCUCACAAAAUGAAUAAUAUAAAAAUGUUGAAAGUGAUUUUACAUGUGUAACCGCUAUCAGGUUACUUGCUAUUUUGGGGAGGGAAGAGGUAAAAAAAAAAAAAAAAAAAAAUUGGAACUCAAAAAUCUUACAAAAAUGAAUGUUGAAAACUAUCUUUACAUGUAAUUGGAAAAAUACCACUGAAUUUUUUUUUUUUUUUUUUAAAGUGGCUGUUGUGGGGGAGAGGGUGUCAGACAUUUACUCUAGUAAAAUCAUGGAAAGAAUCUUUCAGGGGCAGGAAGACCAGGCAGAAAGAAAAGGGCCAAUGAGUGGGAAGAAGGGGACAUGGAUGAAAUGCUGAGGGUGUAAAUGUCCAGACUAGCAACUACUUCCUUCCAAAAAUAUGAAGUCUCUUAAUGGCUCAGUGGAAUGACCUUCUCUUGACCUCUCCACAGCCUCAGACACCAUCCCUUCUCUUAGAUCCCCUCAUUAAUCUGGUCUCUCGGGGCCUCCUCCCUCCUUGCUCUGAGAUCCUUUUCUGCAUCCUUGUCAUGUGCGUUUACUGCAGGGAUCCCCAAGGCUGUCUUGCUCUCCUUUCAUUCUAGGCUAUCUCAGUCAGAGAUCUCUUCAGCCUAUGGCUUUGAUGCUCAUCUGCCUUUCAGAGGAUCCCCAGAGACAUCACUACCUUUUAGACAUGGCAAAGUGGAUAUCCCACAGGCACCUGGAACUCGCCGUGUCCAAAACCGAGCCCUCUCCCCCCUCCUCCCCGCUCCCCUUCUCUCUUGCAAAUUGUCAAAGGCACCCAGGGAUAUCCUUGCUACCAACUCUAUUCACCCCGUCUAAUUUUUUGUCAUUGUCAACUCUUUUCACUAUUUCCCUCUCUCCGGUGUUCCCUCGCCACCAUCCUGAAGCAAGCUUUAUCACACCCUCACACAGGGAUGACUACGUUAGGGGCCCUGCCGCCCAACCCCUGCUUGCCUCAAGUCUCUCCCCACUCCAGUUCGUCCUCUCACGGCAAACUGCUCUGGCCUUCCUUCAGCUCCACUCCUCAGCCUCCGCCUUCCACCAGAGCUUUCCUUUGCAUGCAGCCACAUACCUCGGUGUCAUUCCCACAGAUUUCUUCCAGACUCCUCUACGUGUCUUAUUUACAUCCAGCUGUUUGCACAGCCUCCCUCCAUAAGCAUCUCAGCCCCUUAGAGGGCAGGUUUUUCCUCUCUUAUAUCUCCAGCACUAAAGCACGGUACCUGGCAAACACUGGUGGACUGAGUGCUCUGGACAGUAAGAGACUUUGGAGAUGUGGAUUCUGGGGAGAAGAUAAGAGGCUGGACAAGCCGAGAUCCAGAUAUCCACGGGAUAGCUGGAUGAUAGGAGUAUAGAUUCAGAGCUGGAAGGGACCUCAGAGGACUUGCAUUUGACAGAUAAGGGAACUGAGGCCCCAAGAAGUGACAGACUCGGCGGGUUGGAGGGAAGCUCUGACUGCUGCUACUCCACAGUGCUAGUCACAAGUCUAGGAAGCAUCUGCAUCACCAUCGAACACCUGGGAGCUGAUGAGAUCACUUGGGGAGACUGGAAGCCCGAGAUGGGGUCCCAGGGCAGAGCCUGGGGGACACCUACACUUAGCAGGCUUGAGGGCAAUCAACCCAGAAAGGAGGAGGAGCACACACCCAAGUAGUUUUGGGAAAAGCUGAGGGGAGAGUGUUCAGAUGCUGAUCGUUAGUGCCAAAGGCUGCAGAGAGCUCAGGAAACAUGAAGCCUGAGAAAAGUCCAUUAGAUUCAGCAAUUAAGAGAUAGGGUGCCACGGAAGAGAGGAGGGUCAGAGGUCAGACUGCAGACAGAUGUGCAGGCCCUGAGCACAAGGAGCUCUCUCAAGGCUUCUGACUGGGGAGAGGCCAAAAGGGCCGCAGCCUGAGGCGGAGUUGGGGGGGGGGGGAGGAGGAGGGGGAGGGCAAGCUCCAGGAGGCUCUUUAAGGCAGGGGGCCACCCCGCGUAUCAAAAGCCAUCGGGGAAGGAAACUGAUCCAAGAGGUUCAAGAUUGGAGUGGUGCUGGUGGGGAGGAGGGGCAGCUUCCUGGACACCCCAAAAAGGAAGCGAUCUGGAAUGCAAACAGCUGGUGGCCUGGCAAGGAGGAAGGCCGUGGCUCUGUGAGCCAAAGGAAGAGCGGGUGGAGUGCAGAUAAGAAAGGUGGGGGUGGGGUCUCGGGGACGAGGGCAGGGGCGAAGGAGGACUGAGAAGGGAGGGUGUAGAACUCGGCCAAUGAACGGAUUUAGGUGGGGGGAGGGGAUGGCUGCCUUGCUGCAGAUUAGACAAUAAAUUUGUAGCCGCCCAGAGCUGCAGUUUGACAACUUGCUUUAGCUCCCCAGAGGCAGAUGAGGGGGCUGGCUGACAGUCCCAGGCUGGAGAUCGGCAUCCUUGGAAGGAACUAGAAGGGCAGCAAGGGACUGCAGCGUAGAUAAGCCGUUCAUGAGGGACAGGAGGGA